ACGAACAACUCCGGAGAGCCAGACCGCGCGCAGCCUCCAGGGAGCCGCAGGGGAAGGAGCCUGGGCCAGGAGGCGCGGAGAGGAGGCCUUCCAGGCACAGCCCAGGUCACUUCCCUCCAGGCUGAACAGAAGACGGACCCCCUGCUCGCGGGUGCUGCUUUGACAGGGCAGGCUCACACGGCAUUCCUGUGGCACGCUGUGAAGGGCACCAAACGGCCAGCCCGGGUGGGCACGGGGCUCUAGUCCCCAACUCUCAGAACACAUCAGACAAACGUGAUGCCCUGUCCCUCUGGUGACACCACAUGAUGACUCACAGAGCCCAUGUCUGAAGAUAGGAAACCGGCCUGCCCACCCUCCUCACCUCUCCCUGGGCCCUCGCUGGGCUCCAGGCAGAAUCACAGUGGCUCCCUGCUCUUGGGACCUCCACAGUCUGGCACAGGAGAAGCCCAACUAAACAGAGACGCUACGAAACAGAGCUCGACGACCCUAAGGGAUGGAAGAGCUGCCGUCUCAGCCAAGGAGGAAGGUAACAAGGACAGAAGUA